rnacentral:rRNA from 1 species
ACUCCUACGGGAGGCAGCAGUGAGGAAUAUUGGACAAUGGGUGCAAGCCUGAUCCAGCCAUCCCGCGUGAAGGAUUAAGGUCCUAUGGAUUGUAAACUUCUUUUANACAGGGAUAAACCUCUCCUCGUGAGGAGAGCUGAAGGUACUGUAUGAAUAAGCACCGGCUAACUCC